AAUAAGUGCAGUUUUGCACUAUUUAUAUCCGACGUUUGACCGUUCGUCUUAUUUAAAAUUUGUUUAUGAUUAGUAUUUUUAUUGUUAUUAGAGGAUAAAACAUAAAUGGUACUUUAUGCGUGACUAAUUUUUUUUAAUUUUUUCAUAGAUUUUUCAAAAAAACGGACGGUCAAAUAUUAGAUACGGAAACUCACAACUGCAUUUAUU
rfam:Oryza punctata chromosome 8, whole genome shotgun sequence.